rnacentral:rRNA from 1 species
CGAAGGUGGCAAGCGUUACUCGGAAUUACUAGGCGUAAAGGGCAGGUAGGUGGUUUGGUAAGUCUGCUGUGUAAGCUCCCGGCUUAACUGGGAGAGGCCAGCGGAAACUACCAGGCUUGAGUAUAGGAGAGGAUACUGGAAUUCCCGGUGUAGCGGUGAAAUGCGCAGAUAUCGGGAGGAACACCAAUGGCGAAAGCAGGUAUCUGGACUAUUACUGACACUAAGCUGCGAAAGCUAGGGGAGCAAACAGGAUUAGAUACCCUGGUAGUCCUAGCUGUAAACGAUGCACAUUAGACGUGAGGGGUAUCGACCCCCUUCGUGUCGAAGUUAACACAUUAAAUGUGCCGCCUGGGGAGUACGGCCGCAAGGUUG